rnacentral:ncRNA from 2 species
AGCAGCCGCGGUAAUUCCAGCUCCAAUAGCGUAUAUUAAAGUUGUUGCAGUUAAAAAGCUCGUAGUUGAAUUUCGGGAUCAGUUGGUCGGUCGUGCCUCGGUACGUACUGGUCAAAUUGAUUCCUACCUUCUGACGAACCACGAUGUCAUUAAUUUGGUGUCGCGGGAAAUCAGGACUGUUACUUUGAAAAAAUUAGAGUGUUUAAAGCAGGCUCGCGCUUGAAUACAUUAGCAUGGAAUAAUGAAAUAGGACGUUUGAUUCUAUUUUGUUGGUUUCUAGGAUCGACGUAAUGAUUAAUAGGGAUAGUUGGGGGCAUUAGUAUUCAAUUGUCAGAGGUGAAAUUCUUGGAUUUAUUGAAGACUAACUACUGCGAAAGCAUUUGCCAAGGAUGUUUUCAUUAAUCAAGAACGAAAGUUAGGGGAUCGAAGACGAUCAGAUACCGUCGUAGUCUUAACCAUAAACUAUGCCGACUAGGGAUCGGAUGAUGUUAAUUUUUUAAUGACUCAUUCGGCGCCUUAC